GACAAAUUCAGCCCACAGUCAAAUCCCUACAGCAAGUCUCAAUAUUAUUUUAUCAAUCAAAUCAAAGCAGUUUUUAUCUAUAUUCUGCCAGAUUACAUCAAUGUGAACAAAAGUUCAAUUGAUGGAAUCUGGCA